UGCAUAUCAAUAAGCGGAGGAAAAGAAACCAACAGGGAUUGCCUUAGUAGCGGCGAGUGAAGCGGCAAAAGCUCAAAUUUGAAAUCUGGCACUUUCAGUGUCCGAGUUGUAAUUUGAAGAAGGUAUCUUUGGGUCUGGCUCUUGUCUAUGUUUCUUGGAACAGAACGUCACAGAGGGUGAGAAUCCCGUGCGAUGAGAUGUCCCAGACCUAUGUAAAGUUCCUUCGAAGAGUCGAGUUGUUUGGGAAUGCAGCUCUAAGUGGGUGGUAAAUUCCAUCUAAAGCUAAAUAUUGGCGAGAGACCGAUAGCGAACAAGUACAGUGAUGGAAAGAUGAAAAGAACUUUGAAAAGAGAGUGAAAAAGUACGUGAAAUUGUUGAAAGGGAAGGGCUUGAGAUCAGACUUGGUAUUUUGUAUGUUACUCUCUCGGGGGUGGCCUCUACAGUUUACCGGGCCAGCAUCAGUUUGAGCGGUAGGAUAAGUGCAAAGAAAUGUGGCACUGCUUCGGUAGUGUGUUAUAGUCUUUGUCGAUACUGCCAGCUUAGACUGAGGACUGCGGCUUCGGCCUAGGAUGUUGGCAUAAUGAUCUUAAGUCGCCCGUCUUGAAACACGGACCA
rnacentral:rRNA from 1 species